rnacentral:rRNA from 1 species
UUAAACCUACGGGACGCAGCAGUGAGGAAUAUUGGUCAAUGGGCGGGAGCCUGAACCAGCCAAGUCGCGUGAAGGAAGAAGGUACUUAGUAUUGUAAACUUCUUUUGUCGGGGAACAAAGGCGGAGACGCGUCUCCGGAUGAGUGUACCCGAAGAAAAAGCAUCGGCUAACUCCGUGCCAGCAGCCGCGGUAAUACGGAGGAUGCGAGCGUUAUCCGGAGUUAUUGGGUUUAAAGGGUGCGCAGGCGGGAGAUCAAGACAGCGGUAAAAUGUCGGGGCGCAACCACCGCCGGCCGGUGAAACUGG